CACAACGCGACGCGGCUCGGCUCGGCUCGGCUCCCGGUGCGCAGCCGCAGCGGGGCAGCUGUGGGCGGAGCGCGGCCUACGGCGGCCCUGAGGUGCGCUGAGCUCUGCUGGUGUAUGGGUCGGGCGCGGGGGUGCGGCCAGCAGCUGGGAGCCGUCUUUGUGGAAGACGUUUUGAGUGACUGGCAGCCGCUCGUCCGAGGCACGUGUCAGUUAUCUGGUGUCUCCUGUGGUGCUAACCUCUGGGAAGAAUAUGCUGUAUUUCAUCAUCAUUAAAAAAAAAAAAAAUAGAACAAGUCAUCUGCUGUUUGUGGGACAAAUGGCCACAACAGCUAUCAUUUAUUUA